UCUUAGUGAACAGCAACUGAAAUGUUUGCUUGACGAACAUUUCAUGGUUAAAGAAAUUGCUGCAAUGUCUUCUGUAAGUCAACGAACAAUCCGGAACAGAGCGACACAGUGUCAGUUAUCUGUGAGGCAGACUUACAGUGAUAUCUCUGAUGAAGACUUAAAAAUACAUGUGAUGGAAUUCAUUGCCAGUUGUCCUAAUACAGGACAAAAGAUGGUCAUGGGACAUCUUAAAGCAAGGGGUAUAAGGUCACGUUUGUCAAACUUGCAUUAGCUGACUCUCAGCUGAUCUACGUCUACCUAGGAGUACGAUUCCUAUCAUGGUAUUCUGCAGGACGGUAACCUAGGAGCAUGGUUGCAGACCCCUAGUUGUUGUCAUACUAUACAUCAUCACCUUCAAGAAUGAAUUUGAUGAUUUUUAAGAAAUGGGUACAGUAACGAAGAGUUCAUGAGGUUAUGAGAGCCAUUGAUCCGGCUGGGACUGUGUUACGUGGAUUGGAGCUGAAUAUUGUGCCAAGACGCCCUUAUUCAGUUCCAGCACCUCACUCGCUGUGGCAUAUUGAUGGAAACCAUAAACUCAUCCGUUGGAGAAUAGUUGUCCAUGGGGGCAUUGAUGGCUUUAGCCGUAAAAUAAUGUAUCUGAAAGCCAGCGAUAGCAACAGGGCCUCUACUGUGCCGCAAUGCUUCUUGGAAUCUGUGCAUGUUCAUGGUCUGCCUCAGCGUGUCCGCAGUGAGUGACCAUGGUGGGGAAAAUGUAGAUGUGGCAAGGUUCAUGCUUGAACAUCCUGAUCGAGGACCUUAGCGCAAGAGCUACAUCACAGGCAAGAGUGUCCAUAAUCAACGCAUAGAGAGGCUAUGGCGGGACCUAUGGUGCACAGUCAUCCAUAUUUACUAUGCGGCCUUCCUGCACCUGGAGGACAUUGGGGUUCUUGAUCCGAACAGUGAUGUUCAUAUCACAUGCCUACACUAUGUGAAGAUUCCGAGGCUGAACUGGCAUCUGAAGAUCUUUUCUGACAGCUGGGCCAAACAUCCCCUGUCUUCGGAGGGCUACAGGUCUCAGCAGCUCUGGGUGGCAGGGCUACUUGUUGCA